UGAGUAAACGUGAGCAAUGUGCCCUUGACUCUGGAAUAAGCGCUGGAAACGGCGUCUAAUACCGGAUACGACCCUCGGAGGCAUCUCCUGGGGGUGGAAAGAACUUCGGUCAAGGAUCAGCUCACGGCCUAUCAGUUAGUUGGUGAGGUAAUGGCUCACCAAGACGACGACGGGUAGCCGGCCUGAGAGGGUGACCGGCCACACUGGGACUGAGACACGGCCCAGACUCCUACGGGAGGCAGCAGUGGGGAAUAUUGCACAAUGGGCGCAAGCCUGAUGCAGCAACGCCGCGUGAGGGACGACGGCCUUCGGGUUGUAAACCUCUUUUAGCAGGGAAGAAGCGAAAGUGACGGUACCUGCAGAAAAAGCACCGGCUAACUACGUGCCAGCAGCCGCGGUAAUACGUAGGGUGCAAGCGUUGUCCGGAAUUAUUGGGCGUAAAGAGCUCGUAGGCGGUUUGUCACGUCUGCUGUGAAAUCCCGAGGCUCAACCUCGGGCUUGCAGUGGGUACGGGCAGACUAGAGUGCGGUAGGGGAGAUUGGAAUUCCUGGUGUAGCGGUGGAAUGCGCAGAUAUCAGGAGGAACACCGAUGGCGAAGGCAGAUCUCUGGGCCGUAACUGACGCUGAGGAGCGAAAGCAUGGGGAGCAAACAGGCUUAGAUACCCUGGUAGUCCAUGCCGUAAACGUUGGGAACUAGAUGUGGGGACCAUUCCACGGUCUCCGUGUCGUAGCUAACGCAUUAAGUUCCCCCGCCUGGGGGAGUACGGCCGCAAGGCUAAA
rnacentral:rRNA from 1 species